rnacentral:lncRNA from 1 species
CUACAGUGCCUAAUAGACAAGUCUCAUCUAACAAGAGCUGUUUGGCUUGUGGAUAGCAGUUCCAAAGUGAACAAACAGCAUCCUGUUUGAAAGCCACUGCUCUGGUUAAAGAAGAGUCAAGCAAAUUUUUUUCUUGCACUCAAUCUCUCAGGGAUGCAGUAAAAGACCCUUCAUGAAGGACAGCCUCAACUUCCAGAUCAAUUUAACUUCAAAGCCUCUGACAUUGGUUAUUUCUCAAGAGCUGUGAUUUUUUCUUCUGUUGCAGUCAUAGUUGGUCUAAAGGUAAUAAUUUCCUGGGCAGGAAUCCAAUUCUGUAACCAUCUCUGUCAGCAUGCCGAUUUUGUAUUGUACCUCCAAGACUCAUCAACAUAAGCUCAGAUAGUUCUACCAUAAUACUUAUAUGUGCUCUUAAGCUAAAGCAUCAGAAACAAAAUUAACAAUUAAAAACCUACAUUAAUUUGCUGAUAUAAGCAUUUUAAAACUUACUGACACAAAUAAUUAUUUGUGUAUAUCAUGCAGCUUUGCCUCUUAUUUUGCCUGUCAAAAUCUCUUCAUGGAGAAUCAUACUUCUCUUUUCUUUGCUAGUGAAUAGUAUUAUUCAUUUCAUUUCCCUCUCUAUACAGAGCACUGCCCUUAC